ensembl:lncRNA
CACAGACACACACAAACAGAUGAGGUGUCUUCACACUGUGAACGGUGGAGAGGCACGCACACACACACUAGCACGCAGGAACGCACGCACACACACACACUGAGAGGGGAAAUGCUUACAGGUUUUCCUGAGGCAGCUGAGAUUGGCAGGGUCAGGGGAAAGAAGGUGACGAAAGUGGAGGAGAGAAGAGAAGAGGAGUAGGAGAGGGUGAGGGGUGUCAGGUGGGGGCCUCCAUCAAAGGGCAAAGUUGAGAGAGAUGUCCCGACUGUGCAACACCCAGCCCAACCCCCACCCUCCGACCACUCCCACCAACAGCUGUGUGUCAUAAACAAGCACACGAUCUCUCCUGAACCUCUCUACUCCUCUCUCUCCAAGAUCAGAGCAAAGGGUGCAGAGCCAAAAACAGGAGGGUCGUUGUCCUGUUGGGAGGUGAACCUUCGCCCCAGUCUGAGGUCCUAAGCACUCUGGAGCGGGUUUUCAUCAAGGGUAACGUAACAAAAUGUGGUUAAAUGGAAGAGGUGUGAAUACUUUCUGAAUGCACUGCAUAGUAUACAUUUGUUAUAUUUGUGUCCGUAUUGUCCAUUAGUUUCUAGAGAUAGUAUAAGAGGAAAUAGCCAAAUUAAUGAAAAAAGCCUCUAAUGUCACACUCUGAUCUGUUUCACCUGUCCUUGUGCUCGUCUCCCUUCCCCUCCAGGUGUCGCCCAUCUUCCCCAAUAUCCCCAGUGUAUUUAUACCUGUGUUUUCUGUCUGUCUGUGCCAGUUCAUCUUGUUUGCCAAGUCAACCAGCGGUUUUUCUCUUAGCUCUCUGUUUUUCCUCUUCCUCCUGGUUCUGAACCUUGCCUGUCCUGACUCUGAGCCCACCUGCCUGACCAUUCUGACUGCCCUUGACCUCGAGCCUGCCUGCUGCCCUGUACCAUUUUGGAAUAUGACCUGGUUAUGAACUGAACUCUUGCCUGUCCCCGACUUGCCUUUUUCCUACUCCUUGGAUUAUAAUAAAUAUCAGAGCUCAAGCCAUCUGCCUCCCGUGUCUACAUCUGGGUCUCGCCUUGUGUCGUUAUAUCUAAUUAACAAUGACAUUCUUUUCAAUUAACUCUGCAACUCUUC